GAUGAAGAACGCAGUGAAAUGCGAUAAGUAGUGUGAAUUGCAGAAUUCAGUGAAUCAUCGAAUCUUUGAACGCACAUUGCGCCCCUUGGUAUUACAUGGGGCAUGCCUGUUAGAGCGUCAUUUGUACCUUCAAGCUUUGCUUGGUGUUGGGUGUUUGUCUCGCCUUUGCGUGUAGACUCGCCUUAAAAUAAUUGGCAGCCGGCGUAUUGAUUUCGGAGCGCAGUACAUCUCGCGCUUUGCACUCAUAACGACAGCGUCCAAAAGUACAUUUUACACUCUUGACCUCGGAUCAGGUAGGGAUACCCGCUGAACUUAAGCAUAUCAAUAAGCGGAGGA
rnacentral:misc_RNA from 1 species